AGGACGAACGCUGGCGGCGUGCUUAACACAUGCAAGUCGAGCGGAAAGGCCCUUCGGGGUACUCGAGCGGCGAACGGGUGAGUAACACGUGAGUAACCUGCCCCUAGCUCUGGGAUAGCUCCGGGAAACCGGGAUUAAUACCAGAUACGACCACUUUAGACAUCUGUCGUGGUGGAAAGGAUUCCGGCUAGGGAUGGGCUCGCGGCCUAUCAGCUUGUUGGUGGGGUAACGGCCUACCAAGGCGACGACGGGUAGCCGGCCUGAGAGGGCGACCGGCCACACUGGGACUGAGACACGGCCCAGACUCCUACGGGAGGCAGCAGUGGGGAAUCUUGCGCAAUGGGCGAAAGCCUGACGCAGCAACGCCGCGUGGAGGAUGAAGUCCCUUGGGACGUAAACUCCUUUCGACCGGGAAGAUUAUGGACGGUACCGGAAGAAGAAGCCCCGGCUAACUUCGUGCCAGCAGCCGC
rnacentral:rRNA from 1 species